rnacentral:rRNA from 1 species
UGAAAGGAAGAUUAAUCCAGGAUGGGAUCAUGAGUUCACAUGUCCGCAUGAUUAAAGGUAUUUUCCGGUAGACGAUGGGGAUGCGUUCCAUUAGAUAGUAGGCGGGGUAACGGCCCACCUAGUCAACGAUGGAUAGGGGUUCUGAGAGGAAGGUCCCCCACAUUGGAACUGAGACACGGUCCAAACUCCUACGGGAGGCAGCAGUGAGGAAUAUUGGUCAAUGGGCGAUGGCCUGAACCAGCCAAGUAGCGUGAAGGAUGACUGCCCUAUGGGUUGUAAACUUCUUUUAUAAAGGAAUAAAGUCGGGUAUGCAUACCCGUUUGCAUGUACUUUAUGAAUAAGGAUCGGCUAACUCCGUGCCAGCAGCCGCGGUAAUACGGAGGAUCCGAGCGUUAUCCGGAUUUAUUGGGUUUAAAGGGAGCGUAGAUGGAUGUUUAAUUCAGUUGUGAAAGUUUGCGGCUCAACCGUAAAAUUGCAGUUGAUACUGGAUGUCUUGAGUGCAGUUGAGGCAGGCGGAAUUCGUGGUGUAGCGGUGAAAUGCUUAGAUAUCACGAAGAACUCCGAUUGCGAAGGCAGCCUGCUAA